CCCCUGUAGUCCUAGCUGUAAACGAUGGAUACUAGGUGUUGCGCGUAUCGACCCGAGCAGUACCGUAGCCAACGCGUUAAGUAUCCCGCCUGGGGAGUACGCACGCAAGUGUGAAACUCAAAGGAAUUGACGGGGGCCCGCACAAGCGGUGGAGUAUGUGGUUUAAUUCGAUGCAACGCGAAGAACCUUACCAGGGUUUGACAUCCUACGAAUGUUGAUGAAAGUUAACAGUGCCUUCGGGAGCGUAGAGACAGGUGGUGCAUGGCUGUCGUCAGCUCGUGUCGUGAGAUGUUGGGUUAAGUCCCGCAACGAGCGCAACCCACGUUUUUAGUUGCCAGCAUUCAGUUGGGCACUCUAGAGAGACUGCCGGUGACAAACCGGAGGAAGGUGUGGAUGACGUCAAGUCAUCAUGCCCCUUACACCCUGGGCUACACACGUACUACAAUGCAAUGGACAAAGGGCAGCGAGCGAGUGAUCGUGAGCAAAUCUCAGAAACCAUUGCACAGUUCAGAUUGUAGGCUGCAACUCGCCUACAUGAAGGAGGAAUCGCUAGUAAUCGCAGGUCAGCAUACUGCGGUGAAUACGUUCCCGGGCCUUGUACACACCGCCCGUCACACCAUGGAAGUUGGUUUCGCCCGAAGUCGUUACUCCAACCGUUCGCGGAGGAGGACGCCGAAGGCAGGGCUGAUGACUGGGGUGAAGUCGUAACAAGGUAGCCGUACCGGAAGGUGUGGCUGGAUCACCUCCUUAUAGGGAGACCAACUUGACCGAGUUCACGUAAUUAAUACUAGAGCGUGGACUGAGGUUGAGGAAUCCCAAGGUCGAACGGGGACUAGUGAGUGAAAGAUUUGAUUAACUCAUUGGUCUGCAGUGUUCUGGUUUUCAAGCUAAGGUUCUGUGUAAUGGGGGCUAUUAGCUCAGGUGGUUAGAGCGCACCCCUGAUAAGGGUGAGGUCCCUGGUUCGAGUCCAGGAUGGCCCACUUGAUGGGGGUAUAGCUCAGUUGGUAGAGCGCCUGCUUUGCAAGCAGGAUGUCAGCGGUUCGAGUCCGCUUACCUCCACCAUUACAGAGAAGAGAGAUAAAGAAUUUAGCACCUGAUUACAUAGAAGUCUUGUGAAGAGACGUGAAGGUAGUGGGCUGCUGAGUUUUUAGGCUCAGUAUGAACCUAGACAACUGCAUAAGACGAGAGAAUGCAAGGUAGAAAGUUCGAUCUAGACAGAUGAACUAUGAGAGAAGCAAAACUUGCGAGGUCAAGUUAUGAAGGGCUUAUGGUGGAUACCUAGG
rnacentral:misc_RNA from 1 species